rnacentral:rRNA from 1 species
CCUACGGGUGGCAGCAGUGGGGAAUAUUGGACAAUGGGGGAAAGCCUGAUGCAGCGACGCAGCGUGAGGGAAGAAGGAUUUCGGGAUGGAAAGCUCUAUCAGCAGGGAAGAAAAUGACGGUACCUGAGUAAGAAGCCCCGGCUAACUACGUGCCAGCAGCCGCGGUAAUACGUAGGGGGCAAGCGUUAUCCGGAUUUACUGGGUGUAAAGGGAGCGUAGACGGCAGCACAAGUCUGGAGUGAAAUGCCGGGGCUUAACCCCGGAACUGCAUUGGAAACUGUGCAGCUAGAGUGCAGGAGAGGUAAGUGGAAUUCCUGGUGUAGCGGUGAAAUGCGUAGAUAUUAGGAAGAACACCAGUGGCGAAGGCGGCUUACUGGACUGUAACUGACGUUGAGGCUCGAAAGCGUGGGGAGCAAACAGGAUUAGAUACCCGAGUAGUC